rnacentral:rRNA from 1 species
CCUACGGGAGGCAGCAGUAGGGAAUAUUGCUCCAUGGGGGAAACCCUGAAGCAGCAACGCCGCGUGGAGGAUGAAGGUUUUCGGAUUGUAAACUCCUUUUGUUAGAGAAGAUAAUGACGGUAUCUAACGAAUAAGCACCGGCUAACUCCGUGCCAGCAGCCGCGGUAAUACGGAGGGUGCAAGCGUUACUCGGAAUCACUGGGCGGAAAGAGCGCGUAGGCGGGAUAGCAAGUCAGAUGUGAAAUCCUAUGGCUUAACCAUAGAACUGCAUUUGAAACUGUUAUUCUAGAGUAUGGGAGAGGUAGGUGGAAUUCUUGGUGGAGGGGUAAAAUCCGUAGAGAUCAAGAGGAAUACUCAUUGCGAAGGCGACCUGCUAGAACAUAACUGACGCUGAUGCGCGAAAGCGUGGGGAGCAAACAGGAUUAGAUACCCCAGUAGUC